rnacentral:rRNA from 1 species
GACGAACCGUGCAACCGUUAUUCGGAAUCACUGGGCUUAAAGCGCGUGUAGGCGGGCCGGCACGUCGGUCGCUGAAAUCCCCCGGCUCAACCGGGGAAGCGGCGCCGAUACGACCGGCCUGGAGGGGCGUAGGGGGACCUGGAACUUCCGGUGGAGCGGUGAAAUGCGUUGAGAUCGGAAGGAACGCCCGUGGCGAAAGCGAGGUCCUGGACGCCAUCUGACGCUGAGACGCGAAAGCCAGGGGAGCGAACGGG